rnacentral:rRNA from 1 species
AAAAGCUUACAUCUCUUCGGAGCAUUUUACGAGGUGCUGCAUGGUUGUCGUCAGCUCGUGCCGUGAGGUGUCGGGUUAAGUCCCAUAACGAGCGCAACCCUACCUUUAGUUGCCAUCAGGUUUAAGCUGGGGACUCUAAAGGAACUGCCUACGCAAGUAGUGAGGAAGCGGGGAUGACGUCAAAUCAGCAGGCCCUUACGUCCAGGGCUACACACGUGCUACAAUGGCCGAUACAGAGGGCAGCUACCUGGUGACAGGAUGCAAAAUCUCCAAAGUCGGUCUCAGUUCGGAUCGGAGUCUGCAACCCGACUCCGUGGAGUUGGAUUCGCUAGUAAUCGCGCAUCAGCCAUGGCGCGGUGAAUACGUUCCCGGGCCUU